CUGUCGCUNGGUUUUCCUCUUUGUGCUCAGCUUCAAAUUGUCUUCGGACUGUCUCUUGAGGCAACAAAAUCUCUAUUGAUCGACCUCAAAUCAGGUAGGACUACCCGCUGAACUUAAGCAUAUCAAUAAGCGGAGGAAAAGAAACUAACAAGGAUUCCCCUAGUAACUGCGAGUGAAGAGGGAAGAGCUCAAAUUUAAAAUCUGUCAGUCUUUGGCUGACUGAGUUGUAAAUUAGAGAAGUGCUAUCAGUGCUGGCCUGUGCAAAAGUCUCUUGGAAAAGAGCAUCAUAGAGGGUGACAAUCCCGUCUUUGGUACAGAUCUCCAGUGCUUCCAUGAUGCGCUCUCGAUGAGUCGAGUUGUUUGGGAAUGCAGCUCUAAAUGGGUGGUAAAUUCCAUCUAAAGCUAAAUAUUGGCGAGAAACCGAUAGCGCACAAGUACCGUGAGGGAAAGAUGAAAAGAACUUUGAAAAGAGAGUUAAACAGUACGUGAAAUUGUUGAAAGGGAAACGCUUGAAGUCAGUCGCGUUCUUCAGAAAUCAACCUGACUUUGGUCUGGCUUACUUUCUGUUGGAUGGGUCAGCAUCAAUUUUGAUCAUUGGAUAAAGGCCUUGGGAAAGUGGCAUCUCCGGAUGUGUUAUAGCCCUUGGAUCACAUACAAUGGUUGGGAUUGAGGAACUCAGUGUGAAUUUGGAGGCUUACUCACAACACGCACUUAGGAUGCUGGCAUAAUGGCUUUAAUCGAC
rnacentral:rRNA from 1 species